UCCUACGGGAGGCAGCAGUGAGGAAUAUUGGACAAUGGGGGCAACCCUGAUCCAGCCAGCCGCGUGCAGGAAGACUGCCCUAUGGGUUGUAAACUGCUUUUCUACGGGAAGAAACACUCCCUCGUGAGGGAAUUUGACGGUACCGUAAGAACAAGGAUCGGCUAACUCCGUGCCAGCAGCCGCGGUAAUACGGAGGAUCCGAGCGUUAUCCGGAAUCAUUGGGUUUAAAGGGUCCGUAGGCGGGUAGAUAAGUCAGUGGUGAAAUCCGGCAGCUCAACUGUCGCACUGCCAUUGAUACUGUUUAUCUUGAAUUACUGUGAAGUGGUUAGAAUAUGUAGUGUAGCGGUGAAAUGCUUAGAUAUUACAUGGAAUACCAAUUGCGAAGGCAGAUCACUAACAGUAUAUUGACGCUGAGGGACGAAAGCGUGGGGAGCGAACAGGAUUAGAUACCCUGGUAGUCCACGCCGUAAACGAUGGAUACUAGCUGUUGGACUUUCGGGUUCAGUGGUUAAGCGAAAGAUAAUCGG
rnacentral:rRNA from 1 species